UGGCUCAGGAUGAACGCUGGCGGCAGGCUUAACACAUGCAAGUCGAGGGGCAGCGAGUGGCGUUGUUCGCAACGCCAUGUCGGCGACCGGCGCACUGGUGAGUAACACGUAUGCAACCUGCCCUUCACCGGGGCAUAACCCUUGGAAACGAGGCCUAAUUCCCCAUAUACAGCGCUCGGGCAUCCGGGUGCUGUGAAAGGUUUAUUCCGAUGAAGGAUGGGCAUGCGUCGCAUUAGCUUGUUGGCGGGGUGACGGCCCACCAAGGCGACGAUGCGUAGGGGUUCUGAGAGGAAGGUCCCCCACACUGGUACUGAGACACGGACCAGACUCCUACGGGAGGCAGCAGUGGGGAAUA
rnacentral:rRNA from 1 species